AGUGAACGCUGGCGGUAGGCCUAACACAUGCAAGUCGAACGGCAGCACAGUAAGAGCUUGCUCUUACGGGUGGCGAGUGGCGGACGGGUGAGGAAUACAUCGGAAUCUACUUUUUCGUGGGGGAUAACGUAGGGAAACUUACGCUAAUACCGCAUACGACCUACGGGUGAAAGCAGGGGAUCUUCGGACCUUGCGCGAUUGAAUGAGCCGAUGUCGGAUUAGCUAGUUGGCGGGGUAAAGGCCCACCAAGGCGACGAUCCGUAGCUGGUCUGAGAGGAUGAUCAACCACACUGGAACUGAGACACGGUCCAGACUCCUACGGGAGGCAGCAGUGGGGAAUAUUGGACAAUGGGCGCAAGCCUGAUCCAGCCAUACCGCGUGGGUGAAGAAGGCCUUCGGGUUGUAAAGCCCUUUUGUUGGAAAAGAAAAGCAGCAGGUUAAUACCCCGCUGUUCUGACGGUACCCAAAGAAUAAGCACCGGCUAACUUCGUG
rnacentral:rRNA from 1 species